rnacentral:rRNA from 1 species
GACAGCAGUCGCCACGGUAAUACAGAGGGUGCGAGCGUUAAUCGGAUUUACUGGGCGUAAAGCGUGCGUAGGCGGCUUCUUAAGUCGGAUGUGAAAUCCCUGAGCUUAACUUAGGAAUUGCAUUCGAUACUGGGAAGCUAGAGUAUGGGAGAGGAUGGUAGAAUUCCAGGUGUAGCGGUGAAAUGCGUAGAGAUCUGGAGGAAUACCGAUGGCGAAGGCAGCCAUCUGGCCUAAUACUGACGCUGAGGUACGAAAGCAUGGGGAGCAAACAGGAUUAGAUACCCCCGUAGUCCCUGUCUCUUAUAC